CCUACGGGAGGCAGCAGUGGGGAAUCUUGGGCAAUGGGCGCAAGCCUGACCCAGCAACGCCGCGUGAAGGAAGAAGGCUUUCGGGUUGUAAACUUCUUUUCUCAGGGACGAAGAAAGUGACGGUACCUGAGGAAUAAGCCACGGCUAACUACGUGCCAGCAGCCGCGGUCAUACGUAGGUGGCAAGCGUUAUGCGGAAUUAUUGGGUGUAAAGGGCGUGUAGGCGGGUGCGUAAGUCAGAUGUGAAAAGUCAGGGCUCAACCCGGGGCCUGCAUUUGAUACUGUGGUACUUGAGUGAUGGAGGGGCAAUCGGAAUUCCGGGUGUAGCGGUGAAAUGCGUAGAUAUACGGAGGAACACUAGUGGCGAAGGCGGAUUGCUGGACAGUAACUGACGCUGAGGCGCGAAGGCGAGGGGAGCAAACAGGAUUAGAUACCCGGGUAGUC
rnacentral:rRNA from 1 species